rnacentral:lncRNA from 1 species
UCCUGACCUCGUGAUCCUUGCAAAGGGACAUGCAGACCACAUUAGUGAGAAUAUGUGCCUGUAUUUUGCAAUCUGUAACAUGGGCAUAAACUAAAUGUUUUCCAAAGGGAAUAGGGCAAAACAAAAAGGACCUUGACCACUCCUUGGCCCUGAAUAAAUCCAGGAAGCCUAAGAGUAUGACUAUCCUGAGGUAGAAAGAGGGUCACAUGCUGGAUAAGAGGUACCUGGGCUCUCCACUUACAAGAAGAGAGCAUGGUUACAUUUAUAAUCACCAUUCCCAACAUGCUGUGAGUGCAGGCAGCUACCAGGAGGAGAACAAAGGAAAUAACCAGGACACUCAUCUCUAAACCUGUUAAUUUAAUCACACGGAACACUUCUAUUUAAAAUUCCCGAGAGUUAAGAUGUAAGAAUGCUUAUCAAGGUAAAUGCUGUUCACACUGCUUGGAGUGUCAGGCCUAGAUCUCUAUCCAUCAGAAACAACAAUAUCAAUAACAACAACAGCAACAUGAUGAUGGGGCAAUUUCUUAAAAGCACCAUGUAUUUUAUCGAUACAUGUCCGUUGCAGAAAAUCCAGGUGAAUCCAAAGAAGAAAUAAAUGUCUUCCACAAUCCCAUAGCCCAGAGCUAACUAACCACUAUAAAGAACCCAGCGUGGUUUUAACUCAUGGAUCAAAAGAUGCUCAUCAAAGGCUCUGAGCUUUCCUGAGUGCUAACAGGAAACAUCCAGCAUCACUGGUCUCUCCAAGGCUGCAGGUGUCUUUGCCCAUAGUGCCUGUUUUGUGUCAGGGAAAGAAUCAACCUGGGAGCCAAGCCCAGGAAUCAGGAUGACCAAGACAUACUGCACAAGGAGGGAACAAACCCAUCCAAGGACACUCAAGGACAAAUCAAGCAAAUGAAUUUAAGGGAGACGUGCUCAUGGUCUGCUUUGCUGCUCAGCAUGGCUGGGAGGCACAGUGGAAGAUCAUGCAUCCUGCCCCUGGGACUCCUCUGCCAGAGCCUGAGAGCUUUCUCCUGCCCACAGGCUAGGGGUAGGGCAGUUGGAAUUGAUCCAUGCCUUCUAGCUAGACUGUGGGUCCCCUCAGUCUUGGGCAUGGUGACAGCCCAGCAUCAGACAGAGGUCAGUAUCAAACUAGAAAAUGUAAUAAAUACUGUCAGAUUUGUAGACCCAAGAAAAUAUAAACUGCCAAUCAUGGAGGAAAAAAAUCUCUCAAUGAUCUUAUCUUUAUAUGAUUCCCUUGCUGCCUGGAGAUUGACAUUUCCUUGGGGAUAAUCUGGUCAUAGGAUUGGUGAAGGUGGAAGGGAGGCAACCUCCAAAGGUGGGGCCCUCUGCUCACCUGGGACAGGGAGGGCCUGAGGUAGGUGUCUGUGUGGGCUGGGGAGGAGGAUGGGAGCAGUGCUUCUAGAUGUUUCCACUUUCUCCUCAUUAGAUAAUAACGAAUGGGUGAUUUCCCUAGUCACUGCAGUGUGAGGAAAUCUACAAAAUUAAUUUCACAAUACACUUUACAGGAUAGGUGGAGAAACACAUGAAGCACAACUGCAGUGGGUUAUAAAAAACGGCCUUUUGAGUUGAGCAAUAAAUUCGUUCAAGCAGCCAUUCUGAAGGACAAACUGGCUCUGUAUUUAAGAGGGGCAUUCCAGCACUUCUCUAGCCACUGGGUUGACAAUGACUCACCAAAGCCUCUGGUAGCCACCACAGGACACCCAGAGCAUAUGUUUUAAAGCUGAACACCAAACUGCGGACUUCGGGAGGUCAUCAGCCUUCAAGCUUCAGUCUCUGUGUGUUCACAGGUGCUGUAAACACACGCAUCACUACUAAUAUCCCACUUCAGUGCUAUUGCUGCUCCCAAAACUCCAGGUAUUUUUAACCUUAUAAACCUCCAGAAUAAUGAGACCACUGGGUUCAGUAAAUUGCUUUGUUUUGAAGCAGUAUUAGACAAAGUGGGAGACUAGAAGAUAAAUCUGUCAAUGACAUGUCCUUUAAGACUACUUAGAUUUUGUUGAAUUUGUGGAUCAUUCCUUACUUGAGCAAAUGGUAAAUUAACUCUCUCUUUUCUCUCUCUCUCUAGCUGGCACACUUUUUCCAGUAGCCAUUCUACUUGGUAUGCUUACUUAUCAGCUGUCCUCCAGGGGCCUCACAUUAGAUGUUUCUCUGACUAACCAAACAUGACACACAGCUGAAGUCAGAAAAACCAGAUUGAUAAUUUCACUCAAACUAUUUUCCUUCAUUCUAACAAUUUACUGGAGUACACAAUUGUGACUAUUUUUAGCCAUAGGAACUCAUAGAAAGACCAACUUCAUUAGACCUACAAAAUCGAAUUGUGUAACAGUAUAUGCAGUAUGUGUAGGAAUAAAAAGCAUUUCUCAAAUAUGCAGUACUGGAUUUUGCAAAAGCACCUUACACUUAGCUAUAAAGGAGUGGAAAACACAAAGAUGAGUAACUGCACCUUUCAAAAGACUAGAGCUAUACCAAUAAUACAAAGGUGUAAACAAAUAAUGAUGAGAUGACAAAGGCUGAGUGUUUUCUAUUUGGAAGCUAUGUUGUUGAGUUAUUUAUGUAUAUAAUUUCAUGCAAUCUUCAUGUUAUGGGGAUGUUCUAAUCCACUGUGACUCUGUCCUUAAAUAAAAGGGAGAUUUGGACAUAGAGAGAGGCACACGGGGAGGAUGCCAUAUGAGAAUUGACACUGUGCUGUCACAAGCCAAGGAACUACUGGAAGGAGAGAAAGAGGACUGGAACAGUUCCUUCCUUAGCACCUUUUCAGGCAGCCUAGCCCUGCCAGCUUCUUGAUCUGGACUUCUCACCUCUAGAAUUGUGAGGCAAUAAAUCUCUGUUGCUUAAGUUA